AUUGAACGCUGGCGGCAUGCCUUACACAUGCAAGUCGAACGGCAGCGCGGACUUCGGUCUGGCGGCGAGUGGCGAACGGGUGAGUAAUGCAUCGGAACGUGCCUUUCAGUGGGGGAUAACGUAGCGAAAGUUACGCUAAUACCGCAUAUUCUCUCCGGAGGAAAGCAGGGGAUCGCAAGACCUUGCGCUGAAUGAGCGGCCGAUGUCGGAUUAGCUAGUUGGUGAGGUAAAGGCCCACCAAGGCGACGAUCCGUAGCGGGUCUGAGAGGAUGAUCCGCCACACUGGGACUGAGACACGGCCCAGACUCCUACGGGAGGCAGCAGUGGGGAAUUUUGGACAAUGGGGGCAACCCUGAUCCAGCCAUGCCGCGUGAGUGAAGAAGGCCUUCGGGUUGUAAAGCUCUUUCGGCCGGGAAGAAAUCGUGUGGGCUAAUAUCCUGCAUGGAUGACGGUACCGGAAUAAGAAGCACCGGCUAACUACGUGCCAGCCGCCGCCGUAA
rnacentral:rRNA from 1 species